AUACGGAGGAUCCGAGCGUUAUCCGGAUUUAUUGGGUUUGAAGGGUGCGCAGGCGGCCAUUUAAGUCAGCGGUUAAAUCGUGGGGCUCAACCCCAUUCUGCCGUUGAUACUGGGUGGCUUGAUUGCGGUCGAGGUUGGCGGAAUUCGUUGUGUAGCGGUGAAAUGCAUAGAUAUGACGAAGAACACCGAUUGCGUAGGCAGCUGACCAGACCGCAAAUGACGCUCAUGCACGAAAGUGCGGGGAUCGAACAGGAUUAGAUACCCUGGUAGUCCGCACAGUAAACGAUGAAUACUUGUUUUCGGCGAUAUAAUGUCGGAGGCAAAGCGAAAGCGAUAAGUAUUCCACCUGGGGAGUACGCCGGCAACGGUGAAACUCAAAUGAAUUGACGGGG
rnacentral:rRNA from 1 species